AGCAGCCGCGGUAAUUCCAGCUCCAAUAGCGUAUAUUAAAGUUGUUGCAGUUAAAAAGCUCGUAGUUGAAUUUCGGGGUUAGUAGGUUGGUCAUGCCUCUGGUAUGUACUGGUGUUACUGGUUUCUACCUUCUGACGAACCAUCAUGUCAUUCAUUUGGUGUGGCGGGGAAUCAGGACUGUUACUUUGAAAAAAUUAGAGUGUUUAAAGCAGGCUCGCGCUUGAAUACAUUAGCAUGGAAUAAUGAAAUAGGACGUUGAUCCUAUUUUGUUGGUUUCUAGGAUUGACGUAAUGAUUAAUAGGGAUAGUUGGGGGCAUUAGUACUCAAUUGUCAGAGGUGAAAUUCUUGGAUUUAUUGAAGACUAACUACUGCGAAAGCAUUUGCCAAGGAUGUUUUCAUUAAUCAAGAACGAAAGUUAGGGGAUCGAAGACGAUCAGAUACCGUCGUAGCCUUAACCAUAAACUAUGCCGACUAGGGAUCGGAUGAUGUUAUUUUUAAUGACUCAUUCGGCGUCCG
rnacentral:rRNA from 1 species